GUUUCUGUCGCUCUAUAUCGUCGGAACUAAAACUGCCGCCGGCGCCGUAUUGAUGGAAUUAAACUCGACCGUAUUCCUCUUUUAAUCUUCCCUGGGAUUGUCAUGCUCUUAGUUGGGAUUUCUGUGUUGGAUCUGCGGCAAUAGCUUCCGGGAAGUGCCCGCCAGCAUGGAGAGAUCGACUGUGAGGCUGCGAUCCGUCAAGGAGUCCCAACUUGAAAAGGAGCCAUGGUUAAUUGAUCUAAACUGCCUUCUCCGAUGCAUUGGUAGUCUCCAUCUGACUAGCUGCAUUUCUCUCGAAUAUUUACCACUGAUGCAAUUCACGGGAAGAAAAGUUCCACAUGAAAGGGUGGAAUUCAUGGAGAAAGUGGCAAAGACGCUCAUGUUGGUGAGCUCACGGCUGAUGUCUUGAUGAGAGUGUAUUCAUAUUUGAAACUCACCUUUAAUUUUUCACAGCAAAACUAUUUUGUUUGUAUGGCUCAAGGUGAGGCAAAUGUAGACAAUCUUGUUUACACCAUCGAGUUCAUAUUUUCCCCCAAAAAAAUCAUGAAGCCAGUGAAGUAGAACGACAAGCUAUUCGCCCACCUAAAUUUCUUUUCAUUUUUUAAUGCUUAGUGAGUGCUAAUUUUGGAAUCAGCAAAAUGUGGCUAAUUUUCUGAGACUGAUUUCUUACAGGUUACACCUUUUUUUGGGAUUAAACUACACUGGCGAGGAAAAAUCAUGAGGCGUGAAGAAUUGUUUUAUCGGUGCAAAAGUGCACAUGUACAUGCCAUGGUGUUCAAUAUUUUUCCACUUAAAUUUCCUUUCAUUUUUGAUCUUCAGUGAGUGCUAAUUUUGUAAUCAUCAAAAUAGUGGUUAAUUUUCUCAUAAUGAUAUCCUACAUUUUACACCUUAUUUUUUUGGAUUAAACUAAGCACCCGCGAGGAAAAUCAAGAGAUGUAAAGGAUUAUUUUAUCUGUGCAUAAGUGCACAUGUACAUGUCAAGUUUUGUUCAAUCUCUUAAGGAAAUAAGUAUAAGUGACUGUACAUCCGAGUGGGUGGAGCUGCAACUGGGCGCUAUUUUGCAUGAAAUCUGACAUUGGUAUGUCUAAUGCUUUGAUCUUGAUACUGCUAUCGAUGUGAUGUUAUUUAGGCAGUUGAAAGAAUGUUCUGAAUUGAUUAGUCUAUUCACAUCACAUUUAGCAUUUUUGUUGGCAGAUUCAUUGACAUGACAUUAUUCAGUCAGUGGAAAGAAUGGUAUGCAAAUAAUUGGUCUAUUAACAUGACAUUUAGUAUUUUUGUUGGCAGAUUCACUGACUUUGGAUGGCAGGCUUUUGCCUUCUGUAGUUGGCCAUUGUCACUUGUCCUGGCACCUGAAGAGAUUGCAGUUACGUACAUGCUUUUACUCGUGAAAUACCAUAGUGACUUGUCCCUGGUCCGGAAGAGAUUGCAUGGUACUUCCUUUUGCAGGUUAGUGUAGGCAUGCUUAUGUUGUGGUUCUGGUGAUAAGAGGUGAAAAUAGUACAACUGGACUAAUAUAGGUAUGUCAGAUUUCUCACCCUCAUCUUAGCCUCUUUUUUCUAAACCUAAAUAAUGAUAACCUUGGUAAAUGAUCUACAAAGAAGCAUUACACCAGCCGUUGCCAGCUACUUUACAUUUGUUUUUCCUGAGUGAGAUGAGGUGAUCAGAGAUUAGUAGUACUAAUUUAACAUGAAUAUGCUGUACUAACUAUAAAUAGAGGAUCAUUUAUAGCCUCCACAAAAUGUAAAAAUACUACAAAAUCUUUGUGUAUGAUAAACUAAAUUAGCUAGGCAGAAUCAUGUGGGAACUCACUUGAGUAGGCCUGUAGGUGAUGAUGUUUUUUCAAAUUUCAGGUUUACAUUGCACCAGAUAUUGUUCUUUUACUACCAUCAUGCUAAGUAGUAAGUAUACAUAAAAAAUUAAGUUUUCAAUUUAGAGUUCAAUGAGUUUCUUUAAUAUUUUGCCAAGGGUAUGUGUCAAACAAUGAUGCUCUGUUAUGUAAAGACUGCAAAGACUUCCUUUGGAUUUA